rnacentral:rRNA from 1 species
UACAGAGGUUACAAGCGUUAUCCGGAUUUAUUGGGCGUAAAGCGUUUCGUAGGUGGGUUUGUAAGUUACUCUUUAAAGACCACGGCUCAACCGGGGGAAGGGGAGUAAUACUGCAAGUCUUGAAAUUUGGUGGGGUUUUCGGAACUGAUGGUGUAGUAGUGAAAUACGUUGAUAUCAUCAGGAACUCCAAGGGCGAAGGCAGGAAACUAACCAAUUUUUGACACUGAGGAACGACAGCUAGGGGA